ACAUGCAAGUCGAACGAUGAUCUCCCAGCUUGCUGGGGGUGAUUAGUGGCGAACGGGUGAGUAAUACGUGAGUAACCUGCCCUUGACUCUGGGAUAAGCCUGGGAAACCGGGUCUAAUACUGGAUACGACCUCCUGUCGCAUGGUGGGGGGUGGAAAGGGUUCUACUGGUUUUGGAUGGGCUCACGGCCUAUCAGCUUGUUGGUGGGGUAAUGGCUCACCAAGGCGACGACGGGUAGCCGGCCUGAGAGGGUGACCGGCCACACUGGGACUGAGACACGGCCCAGACUCCUACGGGAGGCAGCAGUGGGGAAUAUUGCACAAUGGGCGCAAGCCUGAUGCAGCGACGCCGCGUGAGGGAUGACGGCCUUCGGGUUGUAAACCUCUUUCAGUAGGGAAGAAGCGAAAGUGACGGUACCUGCAGAAGAAGCGCCGGCUAACUACGUGCCAGCAGCCGCGGUAAUACGUAGGGCGCAAGCGUUGUCCGGAAUUAUUGGGCGUAAAGAGCUCGUAGGCGGUCUGUCGCGUCUGCUGUGAAAGCCCGGGGCUCAACCCCGGGUCUGCAGUGGGUACGGGCAGACUAGAGUGCAGUAGGGGAGACUGGAAUUCCUGGUGUAGCGGUGAAAUGCGCAGAUAUCAGGAGGAACACCGAUGGCGAAGGCAGGUCUCUGGGCUGUUACUGACGCUGAGGAGCGAAAGCAUGGGGAGCGAACAGGAUUAGAUACCCUGGUAGUCCAUGCCGUAAACGUUGGGCACUAGGUGUGGGGGACAUUCCACGUUCUCCGCGCCGUAGCUAACGCAUUAAGUGCCCCGCCUGGGGAGUACGGCCGCAAGGCUAAAACUCAAAGGAAUUGACGGGGGCCCGCACAAGCGGCGGAGCAUGCGGAUUAAUUCGAUGCAACGCGAAGAACCUUACCAAGGCUUGACAUUCACCGGACCGCCCCAGAGAUGGGGUUUCCCUUCGGGGCCGG
rnacentral:rRNA from 1 species